AUCACUUCUCGGCCUUUUGGCUAAGAUCAAGUAUAGUAUCUGUUCAUAUCAGUUUAAAAAAAUUCCUCUCUGGCACUUGGAUGGUAGAGAUGGGAGCGGGACCCCAGAAGGGUACAGAGAUGCAACUCCCCCUGUGCCUGCCUUUGGCGCAUCGUUCCAUCAGUGGUGUGCACCGAGGGCGUGGU